UACAGAGGGGGCUAGCGUUGUUCGGAAUUACUGGGCGUAAAGGGCGCGUAGGUGGCCUGCUAAGUCGAACGUGAAAUCCCCGGGCUCAACCCGGGAACUGCGUCCGAGACUGGCAGGCUCGAAUCCGGGAGAGGGGGGUAGAAUUCCAGGUGUAGCGGUGAAAUGCGUAGAGAUCUGGAGGAAUACCGGUGGCGAAGGCGGCCCCCUGGACAAAGACUGACGCUCAGGUGCGAAAGCGUGGGGAGCAAACAGG
rnacentral:rRNA from 1 species